rnacentral:rRNA from 1 species
AAGGAAUAUUGGUCAAUGGGCGGAAGCCUGAACCAGCCAUCCCGCGUGCAGGAUGACUGCCCUAUGGGUUGUAAACUGCUUUUAUCUGGGAAUAAACCACUCUAUUUAUGGGGUGUUGAAGGUACCAGAAGAAUAAGCACCGGCUAACUCCGUGCCAGCAGCCGCGGUAAUACGGAGGGUGCAAGCGUUAUCCGGAAUCACUGGGUUUAAAGGGUGCGUAGGCGGCUAUAUAAGUCAGGGGUGAAAGGCUACAGCUUAACUGUGGAAUUGCCUUUGAUACUGUAUAGCUUGAAUAAGGAUGAGGUUGGCGGAAUGUGGCAUGUAGCGGUGAAAUGCAUAGAUAUGCCAUAGAACACCAAUUGCGAAGGCAGCUAACUGGACCUUUAUUGACGCUGAGGCACGAAAGCGUGGGGAUCAAAC